rnacentral:rRNA from 1 species
GACGAACGCUGGCGGCGUGCUUAACACAUGCAAGUCGAGCGGUAAGGCCCUUUCGGGGGUACACGAGCGGCGAACGGGUGAGUAACACGUGGGUGACCUGCCCUCAGCUCUGGGGAUAAAGCCCGGGAAACUGGGUCUAAUACCGGAUAUGACUUCAUGACGCAUGUUGUGGAGUGGAAAGCCUUGUGCGGCUGAGGAUGGGCCCGCGGCCUAUCAGCUU